UACGAAGGGGGCUAGCGUUGCUCGGAAUCACUGGGCGUAAAGGGCGCGUAGGCGGCUUUGCAAGUGGCGGGUGAAAAUCCCUCGGCUUAACCGAGGAACUGCCUGCCAGACUGUGAGGCUUGAGACCGGGAGAGGUGAGUGGAAUUCCCAGUGUAGCGGUGAAAUGCGUAGAUAUUGGGAGGAACACCAGUGGCGAAGGCGGCUCACUGGACCGGAACUGACGCUGAGGCGCGAAAGCGUGGGGAGCAAACAGG
rnacentral:rRNA from 1 species